CGCUAGCGGCAGGCUUAAUACAUGCAAGUCGUGGGGCAGCAGGUUUGUAGCAAUACAGAUGCUGGCGACCGGCAAACGGGUGCGGAACACGUACAGACCUUCCUUUGAGCGGGGAAUAGCCCAGAGAAAUUUGGAUUAAUACCCCAUAGUAUAAUGAAGUGGCAUCACUUUAUUAUUAAAGAUUUAUCACUCGAAGAUGGCUGUGCGGCUGAUUAGGUAGUUGGCGGGGCAAAGGCCCACCAAGCCUGCGAUCAGUAACUGGUGUGAGAGCACGACCAGUCACACGGGCACUGAGACACGGGCCCGACUCCUACGGGAGGCAGCAGUAAGGAAUAUUGGUCAAUGGAGGCAACUCUGAACCAGCCAUGCCGCGUGGAGGAUGAAGGUCCUCUGGAUUGUAAACUUCUUUUAUAUGGGACGAAAAAAGGCUUUUCUAAGUCGUCUGACGGUACCAUAUGAAUAAGCACCGGCUAACUCCGUG
rnacentral:rRNA from 1 species